UACGUAUGGUGCAAGCGUUAUCCGGAUUUACUGGGUGUAAAGGGAGCGCAGGCGGCGCGUUAAGCCUGGUGUGAAAGCCCGCGGCCCAACCGCGGAACUGCUUUGGGAACUGUUUUGCUGGAGUAUGGGAGGGGUAAGCGGAAUUCCUGGUGUAGCGGUGAAAUGCGUAGAUAUCAGGAGGAACACCGGUGGCGAAGGCGGCUUACUGGACCAUAACUGACGUUGAGGCUCGAAAGCGUGGGGAGCGAACAGG
rnacentral:rRNA from 1 species